GGUGAAGGCGUGCGAGCGGUGGGGGUGAGACGUAUGGAGGGGGCGGUGUUUGGAUGUAAUGUGCGGAAAGGGGGGGUAGGCGGUUGUGUAAGAUUGGUGAGAAAUCGUCCGGCUCAACCAGGAGGGUGCGUCGAAUACUGAAUGACUCGAGUGCGGGAGAUGAAAGUGGAAUUCCUGGUGUAGCGGUGAAAUGCGUAGAUAUCAGGAGGAACACCGGUGGUGUAGACGGCUUUCUGGACCGUAACUGACGCUGAGACACGAAAGCGUGGGUAGCAAACAGGAUUAGAUACCCCGGUAGUC
rnacentral:rRNA from 1 species